UAACUUUAAAUAUUUUCUUUUCUUUUUUAAAUUUUUGUCAAUUUAACUAAAUUGUUUCGUUUUUAAUUAGAGUUUAAUUUAUAUUCCAAGAUUUUCUCUAAUUAAUUUUAGUUGAUUCAAAUUUUCGAAAAAUGUGAUGAUUUUGUAGUUUUGUCAACUAAUUGGAAUACUUUGGUUUACAUGAUAGUAAUUUGAAUGAUUCUUUCUGGGAUUAUUGAUUGUUUGUCUUGAUUCAAUUUCUUUUGGUUGAUCGUUUGGGUUAAUUGUUGUGUUUUUAAUUGACCUACGGAUUUAAGGUGAUAAUUGAAUUCACCAUGUUUACAUUGGAGAGGGUUAAUGGUCCAUCACUUGAUUCUAAUCAGAAUGUAUCCAAAAUGAUUUAAAUCAACUUUAGCUGAAGGCAAUGAAUAAGGAUGGUUGGUAAAUCAACUGGAAGAUAAUCUGUACUCACUUUGCUCCUUCAAUCGUUAUUCUCACCACCAUUAACUAUGCAAAAGCCACAAAGAGAGGAAGAAAACAAUCUUCUCUCCUCCUCCCAUUAUUCUCAUCUAAAACUCAUGAUAAUACAUAUCCUGGAUUCCAUUUGAAGGUCAGAUAAUGAUCUCUAUUGGACUAACACAUUCUGUUUAAUCAUCUUAACGUUAAUCAUCAUGAAAAUCACACUGACAAAAAAAAAGGAUUCGGAUUAACAAGUAACCAACUCUUUUUGGAAGACAAUAAUCACAAGACGAUGGAAAUGGUAAAACUUAAUAUAACUGUCACUUAUUAUCAUGUGAUGUUCAAGUCAAUAUUUCAAAUCAUGAUGAUCAUUAUCCUGAUCAUCAUGUAGCAGACAAAGAGGAUGGAGAGGAGGAGGAAAAGGAAGACUAGCUCAUCAUCAUCAUUUCAAGUGGAAUUUUCCUUUGGUGGUUAAAUUGUCAACUUUGGGUUAAUUUCAAUUUCACAUUAACCUCACUUGAGAACAACAAUGAAUCUAUUUAAUCUUAUCUGAUACAAUUACGAAUUCAAAAUUUACAAAAUUCAAUAAUCAUUUCAAUGGAAGAGACAAGGAUUCAUGUAUAUUUAUGCAAACAUUUCCAACUUGUGAAGAGAAAGGAAGACAAUCAAUGGAAUCCAAACAAAAGAAAACAAGAAGAUGGAAACGACAACGAAUAUGAUGAAGAAAAAGACCAACUAUUUAUAUAUACACACAUUCUCUUUGGAAGAUGAAAAAAAAUCGAACUCGGAAAAAGACCAUCAACUCAAUAAACUAAUAACAUUUAUGGAGAGAAAAGAAAUGAAAGAAAAAACGUAACAAAAGAUCAUGUGGAAAUAACUGUGAUUUCGCCUUCUACUCUUUUUUACAAUGUCUCCCUAUCUUCUAUUCUCAUCUAUUCGUCUUUUUGUCUUCCUUUCAUCAUCAUCAUUCCCUUUUCUUCCUCAUCCUUUUUUCUAUUUUUUUUUCUCAUCUUCCAUAUACAGUAUAUUUACCAUCUCUAUUAUCACUCUUUCCCUUUUCUCUCUCUCUCUCUCUUUUCAGUGUUAUCUUUUUACGCUUUUUAUUGUGUUCAGAAUCAUCAUCAUCAUUAUCAUCCUGAUCAACAACACAAACAUGAUCCAGUUACUUUGAGAAGAUACUUAUGUAAACAUAGCGCAAAGUGUAAAUUGUUGGAUAACAGAAACAACUAAUUACUCCCAAUCAAGAUUUCCAAUUGUAACAAUCGAUGAUCUAACUGGACUACACUUGACUCUUUAUACAAAUUGACAUUUGAAUCUUUUGAUUGUUACCUGGAACUGAUGUUGUAAAACCUUUAGCACCAAUAUUUUGUUUACCUUUAAAUAGUUUUGGUGACAUGAUUAUCACGAAAGUGCUGAAAGUUAAAGGUACAAAAAUCGUGGUCAUUUAUAAGUAACGGUCAGUAGAUGUACUUGAUUCCUUUCAAAACAAUCAAUCGAUACUUUCACUCCCUUAUAAUUCACAUUGGCAAAUUCUCUCUUCCUCUCUCCAUCUUUCUCCUUCUAAUUAGAGGAGGUGGUUGACUGAGAGAGAAUCCAAGUCUUUCCAUUGACCAUUUAGAUGUGUGAAAAAUGACCCUAAAGAUUUGGUAAACUUUGGAUCCACGAAAAAAAUGUCAACAUUAUUAUUCACAUAACAAAUUCAUAAUACAAAAAAUAAUAUGUAAUAUUUACCAUGUACAGUUAUGUGUGUCUUUCAAUUGGAAGGCAAAUAGACAACAAUUGAAUUGAUGUAUUAGUUGUUAACUGUGAACAGAUUAUCAUGAUCAUCAAUCUUUCCAUGGUGAACUGAUUUGUCUCCAUCCUAUUAACUAAGGCACCAUUGAGAACAUCAUUCCAACACAAUUAAUAAUUUUGAAAACCCAUUUGAUUGAGUUAACAGAAACGUGAUUGAAGAUUAAACAAACAAGCACAAAAAUGACCACAAGAUGACCACCAUUACCAUCAUAAUAAAUUGGAAAGGAUUAAUUUAAUAGACUCAAUUCUCGUGCAAUUAAAAAUUGAACCAACAAAACGAAUGGACAAUCAGUAAUCAAAUUGAUACGAUCAAACUAUUCUAAUAGUAAAAAUGAAGUGAAAGUAAACAAUCAACUAUUUACUGAUUGUAAAUCGAUCAUCAUUUUUUUUUUGAUGAAUAUUAUUAUGUAAACACAAUUGGUAUUAUGAUGAUGAUGAUGAUGAUGAUGAUUAUCAUUUAUUAUGAUUGUAGAUUCAUAUCAAGAAUAUAUUAUUACAUGUAAUAUGUACACUCGUUGAUUACAUUUGAUGUGUUGGUUAAUAAUGUUAUGCAUAAUCAAUGAGGUUGAUUGUUGUUGGUAAACAGAGUAUCUCUCAUAUAAAUGAGUAUUGUAUCUUGAAUACAAUUGUGAUUGAAGACCCAAAUAGUUAUCAAAUAAUGAACCAUCUCAAUUAUCAUCAUUUUCAUUUACAAUUAACCAAUGAAUCUUGGUGAAAACCCUAAAUUGUCACCAUCACCACCAAUGGACCCAUGGACCCAACAAUAUAAUGGACAAUCAAAUAAUGAAUUGCAAUAGGAAACCAACAUUUCUCAUGACAGGUCAACCAGAAAGUAACUUGAUAAAAGCUUUUUUUUUAUAUGAUAUAAACUCUUGGCCGGACAAUCAUUAUAUUCUUGACCAUAAUUGUGAUGACAAAAGAUGAUGUGUUGAUAAUGAUUAGGAUAUUAAUUGUGAUAGCGUGACUUUUGUUUAUUGUUUAAAUAUUUCAUUCUUACUUUAAUUAUAUCAACUGAAUUUAUUUUGUGAUUUUUUUAUUACCUUUUCUAGAUUAACUAACAAUUAACUGGACAAUCAGUAGAUUAGCUGAUUGAAAGUGUUGGAAAAACAAUAAUUAUUACCACAAUUGAUUAAUAAUCAAUGAAAAUUUUUCGUUCCUCUCUCAAAAUGAUCAACAAUCAAUUGGAUUGGCAAAAACUGAAUUAACUUUUUCCCUCAUUUGAUUUAUUAAAAUCUCUAUCUCAAUGGUAAAUAUAACAAUGUCUCUAAUUGUUUAAUC